rnacentral:lncRNA from 1 species
GGACACACAUGUACACAGGCACAGACGGACACACGCACGGACACAGACACGGACACACAUUGACCACUCUCCCUCCCCUCCCCCCCCGUGCCAUUUGGGAAUAUUGGGAUGAGACAUUCCUCUGGGAUCCGUGAGAAAAGUUUGACUUGUCCUCUUGAUGCCUAAUCAAGACCGGAGCGUGUGUCUGCGUUAGGGUUCUCCCUUUCGGGUUCCCCACCCACUUUCCUGCCGCAGCUCCGCGUUUCUGCCUCCGCCGGGGAGCGGAAAGAGCUGGAUGGAUUAGCCGCUGCCUUUUGUGCAGAAGAUCUUCCCCGGCAGGCAGCAUCGAUCCUGGUAGCUUUCGCUUUGCAGGCAGCAGCUACGCUGAAUAGGAGCGUGUGCCAGAGAGCAGCCUGCGCAUGGCUGGGGCUUGGGAAGGAGAUAGACUGUUAUCUAUCCGGUCAAGUGGCAAAAAAUUGGAAAAUGAGGGGAUGUCCCUCAACUGGAGAAUGGCUGAACAAAUUGUAGCAUAUGAUGUUGAUGGAAUACUAUUGUACAAUAAGGAAUGAUAAACUUCUUGAUUUCUAUACGUGCUGGAAAGACCUCCACAAACUGAUGUGAAAUAAAAUAUGCAGAAUCAGGAGAGCA